rnacentral:rRNA from 1 species
CAAUAGCGUAUAUUAAAGUUGUUGCAGUUAAAAAGCUCGUAGUUGGAUUUCUGCUGAGGACGAUCGGUCCGCCCACUGGGUGAGUAUCUGGCUCGGCCUUGGCAUCUUCUUGGAGAACGUUGCUGCACUUGACUGUGUGGCGCGGUAUCCAGGACUUUUACUUUGAGGAAAUUAGAGUGUUUCAAGCAGGCGCACGCCUUGAAUACAUUAGCAUGGAAUAAUGAGAUAGGACCUUGGUUCUAUUUUGUUGGUUUCUAGAGCUGAGGUAAUGAUUAAUAGGGAUAGUUGGGGGCAUUCGUAUUUAACUGUCGGAGGUGAAAUUCUUGGAUUUGUUAAAGACGGACUACUGCGACAGCAUUUGCCAAGGAUGUUUUCAUUGA